ACAGACAUUGACGAAUGUGAAACAGACCCAUGUAUAUUCCUGUUUGAUUGCUUCGAUGGGCUAAAUGAUCGAACUUGUAAACUCAACGAAUUCAAAUUGGCAGCUUUAGUAACAGCAUUAGCACUUGCUGUUGGGAUCAUUAUAUUCCUCGUCUGUAAAAACAAGAAGAAAUACAAGGAAGUUGACCACUCAUGGCUAUCUAGCUACUCAGAUGUUCGAAAACCUGACUCUCAGCCAAAACUUGUAUACCAGCCAAAGUCGGUCCAAAAUUUAAAACAACCUAGUUCAGUAUGUAACUUGUUUAGUUUUACAUCCAAAAACUUUCUUAAAUGAGAUAUAAUGAUAAGGUAAUGUGUUUUUUAAUCUGUAUUUUAUAUCAACAGAUUGUUUUGUUUAAUAUUUAUUGCAUGAAAUAUGCUGCUACUUUAAAUGUUUCAAAACCAUGACAAAUAUUUUAUAUAAAUGGAUCAACUCUUGAAAAAUAACAAUAUAAAGUAAUAAGUAAUUUUUGGAUGAACUCUACAAAAACUUAUAAUCUAAGCUGUUUUUCUAAUCGACAUGGUUGAAAGCGCUCACAGUAUUUUGAUAAAUAUAUUUCUUUUUUCCCAACUUAUUGUCAUUGUUUGUAAUUUGGAAAUAAAUAGUUGUGUGUACUGUACUCACGAGCGUUUGUCGAGGGAAUAGAAUACAACUUAUUGAAUAAAAAUCAUUUCCUUACUACGAGUAUACAGUGGAGAUUUUAACCUGAUAUAUAUCUAAUUUAAAUGUUUACACUUUUUCAUGUAAUGAGGGAGGGAAUUGGGUUUAAAAA